rnacentral:rRNA from 1 species
UAGGGAAUUUUCGUUCAAUGGGCGCAAGCCUGAACGAGCAAUGCCGCGUGAACGAGGAAGGUCUUCGGAUCGUAAAGUUCUGUUGAAGGGGAAAAAGAGCGGAGAGAGGAAAUGGUNUCCGAUUGAUAUUACCCUUCGAGGAAGUCACGGCUAACUACGUGCC